UAAAUUGAUUUUUUUGGUGGGUUGCGAUUUCGAUGUGCCACGAGUAACCUCCUGCUGGGACUGUUCAAUCUAAUGUGAUCGCCUCGAUCAAAUUGUCGCUGCCGCACGAAUAAUAAUACUGUAAUAAAUAAUGGAACCAUAUAAACAGACAAAAGUAAUGAUUCAGAGAGUUUGGAUUUGAUCUUCACCGUGCUGACUCCUAAGACCUUGGUGAAGAUUUACCGACAGUGAAGUGUGCUGUUACAUACAAGAUCUAACUGUCUGAGUUGAAUCUCGAUCAUUGCGAGUCCCAAACAGCGGAAGACUGAGGGUGAUGCUAAUUGUGUGUGACACGUUAGGGGAUCUAUGACAUGAAUAUAAAGUAGAGAAUUUUAAAUCUGUCCUGUACAAAAGUUGUGAGGACUUUCUGAUUGACUCUUGGAACUAUCAGUUCUUACUAUGGGUCAUGAGAGCGUCAUUAUGGUUCCUUAAAGAAAAAAAGAAAUGAAAGUCAAUGCGCCACUGAUGCUGGAAGGACUAAGGUGUAAACGGUCUCUCAACAAAUUUGUGUUUGGACAAUUUCAGUUGAUUCUUGGGCAAGAGUGUCAGUUCCACUGCCAGAAUUUGUAUUCAUUCAUUUUUUUAAAUGAAUAUACAGGUUGGGUCUCCCUACCUUGUCGAGCGCAUCCUGCACAACAGUCUCACUCUCAGCAUCAAGGGCGGAUGUUGCUUCGUCCAGCAGAAGGAUUUUGGGGUUACGUACGAGCGCUCGAGCGAUUGCAAUUCUCUGCUUCUGUCCUCCACUCAUCUGAGUCCCUC